rnacentral:rRNA from 1 species
UACGUAGGGUGCGAGCGUUACUCGGAAUUACUGGGCGUAAAGGGCGCGUAGGCGGCAUGAUAAGUCAGGCGUGAAAUUCCCGGGCUCAACCUGGGGACUGCGCUUGAGACUGUUGAGCUAGAGGAUGGAAGAGGGUGGUGGAAUUCCCAGUGUAGAGGUGAAAUGCGUAGAUAUGGGGAAGAACACCGGUGGCGAAGGCGGCGACCUGGUCUAUUACUGACGCUGAGGCGCGAAAGCGUGGGGAGCAAACAGG